rnacentral:rRNA from 1 species
UACGUAGGGGGCUAGCGUUGUCCGGAAUCAUUGGGCGUAAAGAGCGUGUAGGCGGCCCGGUAAGUCCGCUGUGAAAGUCGGGGCUCAACCCUCGAAUGCCGGUGGAUACUGUCGGGCUAGAGUGCGGAAGAGGCGAGUGGAAUCCUGGUGUAGCGGUGAAAUGCGCAGAUAUCAGGAGGAACACCAAUGGCGAAGGCAGCACUCUGGGACGUGACUGGACGCUGAGACGCGAAAAGCGUGGGGAGCAAACAGG